GACGAACGCUGGCGGCAUGCCUAACACAUGCAAGUCGAACGGAGUUAUUUAUUUAGAUCCCUUCGGGGUGACGAAUUUUUAACUUAGUGGCGGACGGGUGAGUAACGCGUGAGGAACCUGCCUUUCAGAGGGGGAUAACGUUUGGAAACGAACGCUAAUACCGCAUAACACAGUUGGUUGGCAUCGAUCGACUGUCAAAGGNGCAAUCCGCUGAGAGAUGGCCCUCGCGUCUGAUUAGAUAGUUGGCGGGGUAACGGCCCACCAAGUCGACGAUCAGUAGCCGGACUGAGAGGUUGAACGGCCACAUUGGGACUGAGAUACGGCCCAGAC
rnacentral:rRNA from 1 species